UCGAAGUGAUGAUGAUAAAAUGGUGAGUUUUUUUCUUGUAUAUCCCUAGACCAAUUGAAUGCAUGAUGUAGUUUAUCUAAUUAUCUAAAAAUCAACAUGUCUAAUAUAUGCCACAAGGUAUGCAUUAAUACUGAUUACCUGAACUUUCUGUGCUAGUGGCUGACCAUUUAGGUGUUGCUCACCAGAUUUGUUGCCAUACUAUUCUUAUUUAUUCCCCAAGCUACAUGUAGAAAUCCAAUGCUAUGAAUUGAAAUGUGUACAGAUACUUUAAAAAAAAAAAAAAAAGCAAUGUGAACAGAUAAAUGCAGAUGAGCAAGUGAAUGACUUGACCUAAUUCAGAUUAAGAGGACUGUUGGAACUGAUGGGCAUGGGUCAAAUGAGUUAUUUUUUUUAUUCUAUACUUCCUAACUUGAUCAAUUCAAAAAUUGUAUACACGGGGUAAAAUAUGGUAAUGGAUAAACUCAUACAGUAGACUUAAGGAAAUGGUGUCAACAAUUGAAAACCUGCAGGAUGUGUCAUAUAAGCGUUGAAAACCAGUUCUUGUUGUUAAUAUAUCAGCUUUGCAGGGGAUAUAUUAGCUUUACAGUUAUUGGCUUGCAUUGGCUGUUUUGUUUAGUGGCUGCUAUUACUAUGAUGCAGCAAUGAAUCUUAUAGGAUAGUGCAAUCAUUCUCUUUGUGAGCUUGAAUCUCAAGGACAUUGCAAUCAAGUAUGAAUUAAACAUGAUAUUUUUACCGAUUAAAAUUGUUCAUUCAUGCCAACAUUCUUGUUGCAGCAAAUUUUUUUCUACAUGAUGUUCUCAUAUUGGCCUGUUUAAUCUUCUUUUCUUUUUCCAAUUUUUAUAAUUGCCUAUUUGCAGGCUGAUUACCUAGCUUCAUUGAACCAUGAGGACACUAGACUAGCAGUUGCAUGUGAGAGGGCCUUCCUUGAAACCUUGGAUGGAUCAUGCCGCACUCCAAUUGCUGGGUAUGCUUGUAAAGGUGAGGACGGUGAUUGCAUAUUCAAAGGGCUGGUGGCUUCCCCAGAUGGAACCCA
rnacentral:misc_RNA from 1 species